rnacentral:rRNA from 1 species
UUAGGAAUUUUGCGCAAUGGGCGAAAGCCUGACGCAGCAACGCCGCGUGAGGGAAGACGGCUUUCGGGUUGUAAACCUCUUUUAGCAAGGACGAACACAAUGACGGUACUUGCAGAAAAAGCACCGGCUAACUACGUGCCAGCAGCCGCGGUAAUACGUAGGGUGCAAGCGUUAUUCGGAUUUAUUGGGCGUAAAGCGCAUGCAGGCGGUCAGGUUAGUCUGAUGUGAAAGCCCUCGACUCAAUCGAGGAAGUGCAUUGGAUACUGCCAGACUAGAGUGCAGGAGGGGUGAGCGGAAUUCCAGGUGUAGAGGUGAAAUUCGUAGAUAUCUGGAGGAACAACAGCGGCGAAGGCGGCUCACUGGACUGUAACUGACGCUCAGAUGCGAUAGCGUGGGGAGCAAACAGG